rnacentral:rRNA from 1 species
GGGUUGUGAGGUUAAGCGACUAAGCGUACACGGUGGAUGCCCUGGCAGUCAGAGGCGAUGAAGGACGUGCUAAUCUGCGAUAAGCGUCGGUAAGGUGAUAUGAACCGUUAUAACCGGCGAUUUCCGAAUGGGGAAACCCAGUGUGAUUCGUCACACUAUCAUUAACUGAAUCCAUAGGUUAAUGAGGCGAACCGGGGGAACUGAAACAUCUAAGUACCCCGAGGAAAAGAAAUCAACCGAGAUUCCCCCAGUAGCGGCGAGCGAACGGGGAGCAGCCCAGAGCCUGAAUCAGUGUGUGUGUUAGUGGAAGCGUCUGGAAAGGCGUGCGAUACAGGGUGACAGCCCCGUACACAAAAAUGCACAUGCUGUGAGCUCGAUGAGUAGGGCGGGACACGUGGUAUCCUGUCUGAAUAUGGGGGGACCAUCCUCCAAGGCUAAAUACUCCUGACUGACCGAUAGUGAACCAGUACCGUGAGGGAAAGGCGAAAAGAACCCCGGCGAGGGGAGUGAAAAAGAACCUGAAACCGUGUACGUACAAGCAGUGGGAGCACAGAGCAAUGUGUGACUGCGUACCUUUUGUAUAAUGGGUCAGCGACUUAUAUUCUGUAGCAAGGUUAACCGAAUAGGGGAGCCGAAGGGAAACCGAGUCUUAACUGGGCGUUAAGUUGCAGGGUAUAGACCCGAAACCCGGUGAUCUAGCCAUGGGCAGGUUGAAGGUUGGGUAACACUAACUGGAGGACCGAACCGACUAAUGUUGAAAAAUUAGCGGAUGACUUGUGGCUGGGGGUGAAAGGCCAAUCAAACCGGGAGAUAGCUGGUUCUCCCCGAAAGCUAUUUAGGUAGCGCCUCGUGAAUUCAUCUCCGGGGGUAGAGCACUGUUUCGGCAAGGGGGUCAUCCCGACUUACCAACCCGAUGCAAACUGCGAAUACCGGAGAAUGUUAUCACGGGAGACACACGGCGGGUGCUAACGUCCGUCGUGAAGAGGGAAACAACCCAGACCGCCAGCUAAGGUCCCAAAGUCAUGGUUAAGUGGGAAACGAUGUGGGAAGGCCCAGACAGCCAGGAUGUUGGCUUAGAAGCAGCCAUCAUUUAAAGAAAGCGUAAUAGCUCACUGGUCGAGUCGGCCUGCGCGGAAGAUGUAACGGGGCUAAACCAUGCACCGAAGCUGCGGCAGCGACGCUUAUGCGUUGUUGGGUAGGGGAGCGUUCUGUAAGCCUGCGAAGGUGUGCUGUGAGGCAUGCUGGAGGUAUCAGAAGUGCGAAUGCUGACAUAAGUAACGAUAAAGCGGGUGAAAAGCCCGCUCGCCGGAAGACCAAGGGUUCCUGUCCAACGUUAAUCGGGGCAGGGUGAGUCGACCCCUAAGGCGAGGCCGAAAGGCGUAGUCGAUGGGAAACAGGUUAAUAUUCCUGUACUUGGUGUUACUGCGAAGGGGGGACGGAGAAGGCUAUGUUGGCCGGGCGACGGUUGUCCCGGUUUAAGCGUGUAGGCUGGUUUUCCAGGCAAAUCCGGAAAACUAAGGCUGAGGCGUGAUGACGAGGCACUACGGUGCUGAAGCAACAAAUGCCCUGCUUCCAGGAAAAGCCUCUAAGCAUCAGGUAACAUCAAAUCGUACCCCAAACCGACACAGGUGGUCAGGUAGAGAAUACCAAGGCGCUUGAGAGAACUCGGGUGAAGGAACUAGGCAAAAUGGUGCCGUAACUUCGGGAGAAGGCACGCUGAUAUGUAGGUGAAGCGACUUGCUCGUGGAGCUGAAAUCAGUCGAAGAUACCAGCUGGCUGCAACUGUUUAUUAAAAACACAGCACUGUGCAAACACGAAAGUGGACGUAUACGGUGUGACGCCUGCCCGGUGCCGGAAGGUUAAUUGAUGGGGUCAGCGCAAGCGAAGCUCUUGAUCGAAGCCCCGGUAAACGGCGGCCGUAACUAUAACGGUCCUAAGGUAGCGAAAUUCCUUGUCGGGUAAGUUCCGACCUGCACGAAUGGCGUAAUGAUGGCCAGGCUGUCUCCACCCGAGACUCAGUGAAAUUGAACUCGCUGUGAAGAUGCAGUGUACCCGCGGCAAGACGGAAAGACCCCGUGAACCUUUACUAUAGCUUGACACUGAACAUUGAGCCUUGAUGUGUAGGAUAGGUGGGAGGCUUUGAAGUGUGGACGCCAGUCUGCAUGGAGCCGACCUUGAAAUACCACCCUUUAAUGUUUGAUGUUCUAACGUUGACCCGUGAUCCGGGUUGCGGACAGUGUCUGGUGGGUAGUUUGACUGGGGCGGUCUCCUCCUAAAGAGUAACGGAGGAGCACGAAGGUUGGCUAAUCCUGGUCGGACAUCAGGAGGUUAGUGCAAUGGCAUAAGCCAGCUUGACUGCGAGCGUGACGGCGCGAGCAGGUGCGAAAGCAGGUCAUAGUGAUCCGGUGGUUCUGAAUGGAAGGGCCAUCGCUCAACGGAUAAAAGGUACUCCGGGGAUAACAGGCUGAUACCGCCCAAGAGUUCAUAUCGACGGCGGUGUUUGGCACCUCGAUGUCGGCUCAUCACAUCCUGGGGCUGAAGUAGGUCCCAAGGGUAUGGCUGUUCGCCAUUUAAAGUGGUACGCGAGCUGGGUUUAGAACGUCGUGAGACAGUUCGGUCCCUAUCUGCCGUGGGCGCUGGAGAACUGAGGGGGGCUGCUCCUAGUACGAGAGGACCGGAGUGGACGCAUCACUGGUGUUCGGGUUGUCAUGCCAAUGGCACUGCCCGGUAGCUAAAUGCGGAAGAGAUAAGUGCUGAAAGCAUCUAAGCACGAAACUUGCCCCGAGAUGAGUUCUCCCUGACUCCUUGAGAGUCCUGAAGGAACGUUGAAGACGACGACGUUGAUAGGCCGGGUGUGUAAGCGCAGCGAUGCGUUGAGCUAACCGGUACUAAUGAACCGUGAGGCUUAACCUUACAACGCCGAAGGUGUUU